rnacentral:tRNA from 1 species
CGGGAUGUGGCGCAGCUUGGUAGCGCACCUCGCUUGGGACGAGGGGGCCGCACGUUCAAAUCGUGUCAUCCCGACCA